rnacentral:lncRNA from 1 species
GUGGUGGUGUUUACAGUCUAACACCCUGACCCAUCGUGGGAGCCCAGGGUCAAAGCCAGCAGCUGCGGGAUCGUCACACCCUUACCCUUUAAUCCCAGCGAUGCUGAGCCGGCUUCCAUCCCCUCGCUGAGCUAGCCAGCUGUCUGACUGCUUGAAAAUGGCGGAAGAGGAAGAGGGCGGCGUGGAGGAGGGGGACGUGUUCCUAGCAUUUGCCCAGGGUCCCAUUCCUCCUCGGGGGCCCGUGCGGCGGGCUUUGGACAAGAUCUUCCUCGCCUUCUUGGUCCUCUUCCUGACUCUGCUGAUGCUGGAGGCUGCUUACAAACUGCUGUGGCCCCUGCCAUGGGCCAAGUUUCAGGACUGGCUCCUGAGGACCCCUGAGGAGGAGGCAGCUCUGGAACUCUGAGCGUCUUCAUAGACCACCUGUCCUUGCUACUGAGCCCAGCUCACUCAAAGAUUUAUUAUAUGUACGUACACUGUCGCUGUCUUCAGACACCCCAGAAGAGGGCAUCAGAUCUCAUUAAGGAUGGUUGUGAGCCACCAUGUGGUUGCUGGGAUUUGAACUCAGGACCUCUGGAACAGCAGUCAGUGCUCUUAACCGCUGAGCCAUUUCUCCAACCCUUAAGAGUGUAUUUUAUUUCCUUUUGAUUUCCUGCAAGUAUCAUGGUUUCAGUUUUCUUUCUGGCUGUAAGACUCCAUUGUAUGUCCGAACCACAUUUUAUCUGUUUUACGGGCCAGUUGGCUGCUUCUGUUCUUUUGCCUAUUGCAAUCGCUACAGCAAUAAACAUGGAUGUGUACGUGGUGUUCUGACUUAAAUUUCUUCAAGUAUCUAUCCAGGAGCAAUACAUCUAGGACAUGUUAGGUCUUAGGCCGUGCAUAGGUCCAGAGAUGGGUCCUGGCCCACCUCAAGCUGGACUCUAGAAGAGUCCCUGGCAGUUAGACAAAGGCCAGAAUUCCCCCAGGACCUUGUGAAACAGGCUCCUGUCUGCAGAAAGGAUGUUUCCCUUGCCUCUGGAAAAAGGACACAAGGCUCAGCAGUGUGCC